GAUACAGGGUGACAGCCCCGUACACAAAAAUGCACAUACUGUGAGCUCGAUGAGUAGGGCGGGACACGUGGUAUCCUGUCUGAAUAUGGGGGGACCAUCCUCCAAGGCUAAAUACUCCUGACUGACCGAUAGUGAACCAGUACCGUGAGGGAAAGGCGAAAAGAACCCCGGCGAGGGGAGUGAAAAAGAACCUGAAACCGUGUACGUACAAGCAGUGGGAGCCUCUUAAUGGGGUGACUGCGUACCUUUUGUAUAAUGGGUCAGCGACUUAUAUUCUGUAGCAAGGUUAACCGAAUAGGGGAGCCGAAGGGAAACCGAGUCUUAACUGGGCGUUAAGUUGCAGGGUAUAGACCCGAAACCCGGUGAUCUAGCCAUGGGCAGGUUGAAGGUUGGGUAACACUAACUGGAGGACCGAACCGACUAAUGUUGAAAAAUUAGCGGAUGACUUGUGGCUGGGGGUGAAAGGCCAAUCAAACCGGGAGAUAGCUGGUUCUCCCCGAAAGCUAUUUAGGUAGCGCCUCGUGAAUUCAUCUCCGGGGGUAGAGCACUGUUUCGGCAAGGGGGUCAUCCCGACUUACCAACCCGAUGCAAACUGCGAAUACCGGAGAAUGUUAUCACGGGAGACACACGGCGGGUGCUAACGUCCGUCGUGAAGAGGGAAACAACCCAGACCGCCAGCUAAGGUCCCAAAGUCAUGGUUAAGUGGGAAACGAUGUGGGAAGGCCCAGACAGCCAGGAUGUUGGCUUAGAAGCAGCCAUCAUUUAAAGAAAGCGUAAUAGCUCACUGGUCGAGUCGGCCUGCGCGGAAGAUGUAACGGGGCUAAACCAUGCACCGAAGCUGCGGCAGCGACACUAUGUGUUGUUGGGUAGGGGAGCGUUCUGUAAGCCUGUGAAGGUGUACUGUGAGGUAUGCUGGAGGUAUCAGAAGUGCGAAUGCUGACAUAAGUAACGAUAAAGCGGGUGAAAAGCCCGCUCGCCGGAAGACCAAGGGUUCCUGUCCAACGUUAAUCGGGGCAGGGUGAGUCGACCCCUAAGGCGAGGCCGAAAGGCGUAGUCGAUGGGAAACAGGUUAAUAUUCCUGUACUUGGUGUUACUGCGAAGGGGGGACGGAGAAGGCUAUGUUGGCCGGGCGACGGUUGUCCCGGUUUAAGCGUGUAGGCUGGUUUUCCAGGCAAAUCCGGAAAAUCAAGGCUGAGGCGUGAUGACGAGGCACUACGGUGCUGAAGCGACAAAUGCCCUGCUUCCAGGAAAAGCCUCUAAGCAUCAGGUAACAUCAAAUCGUACCCCAAACCGACACAGGUGGUCAGGUAGAGAAUACCAAGGCGCUUGAGAGAACUCGGGUGAAGGAACUAGGCAAAAUGGUGCCGUAACUUCGGGAGAAGGCACGCUGAUAUGUAGGUGAAGCGACUUGCUCGUGGAGCUGAAAUCAGUCGAAGAUACCAGCUGGCUGCAACUGUUUAUUAAAAACACAGCACUGUGCAAACACGAAAGUGGACGUAUACGGUGUGACGCCUGCCCGGUGCCGGAAGGUUAAUUGAUGGGGUUAGCGGUAACGCGAAGCUCUUGAUCGAAGCCCCGGUAAACGGCGGCCGUAACUAUAACGGUCCUAAGGUAGCGAAAUUCCUUGUCGGGUAAGUUCCGACCUGCACGAAUGGCGUAAUGAUGGCCAGGCUGUCUCCACCCGAGACUCAGUGAAAUUGAACUCGCUGUGAAGAUGCAGUGUACCCGCGGCAAGACGGAAAGACCCCGUGAACCUUUACUAUAGCUUGACACUGAACAUUGAGCCUUGAUGUGUAGGAUAGGUGGGAGGCUUUGAAGUGUGGACGCCAGUCUGCAUGGAGCCGACCUUGAAAUACCACCCUUUAAUGUUUGAUGUUCUAACGUGGGCCCCUUACCGGGGUUGCGGACAGUGUCUGGUGGGUAGUUUGACUGGGGCGGUCUCCUCCUAAAGAGUAACGGAGGAGCACGAAGGUUGGCUAAUCCUGGUCGGACAUCAGGAGGUUAGUGCAAUGGCAUAAGCCAGCUUGACUGCGAGCGUGACGGCGCGAGCAGGUGCGAAAGCAGGUCAUAGUGAUCCGGUGGUUCUGAAUGGAAGGGCCAUCGCUCAACGGAUAAAAGGUACUCCGGGGAUAACAGGCUGAUACCGCCCAAGAGUUCAUAUCGACGGCGGUGUUUGGCACCUCGAUGUCGGCUCAUCACAUCCUGGGGCUGAAGUAGGUCCCAAGGGUAUGGCUGUUCGCCAUUUAAAGUGGUACGCGAGCUGGGUUUAGAACGUCGUGAGACAGUUCGGUCCCUAUCUGCCGUGGGCGCUGGAGAACUGAGGGGGGCUGCUCCUAGUACGAGAGGACCGGAGUGGACGCAUCACUGGUGUUCGGGUUGUCAUGCCAAUGGCACUGCCCGGUAGCUAAAUGCGGAAGAGAUAAGUGCUGAAAGCAUCUAAGCACGAAACUUGCCCCGAGAUGAGUUCUCCCUGACUCCUUGAGAGUCCUGAAGGAACGUUGAAGACGACGACGUUGAUAGGCCGGGUGUGUAAGCGCAGCGAUGCGUUGAGCUAACCGGUACUAAUGAACCGUGAGGCUUAACCUUACAACGCCGAAG
rnacentral:rRNA from 2 species